CAGAGGGUGUAUGAGAUGUAAAUAUUGUCUUUGCACCAUCUGGGUUUGUUUCAGUUUGACUGCGUGUUUCCCUCAGUCCUGCUCUCAUUAGGAGCACAACAACAGAGCAGUCACACAGAUGUUCACGGUCCCCAGAGGAUGAAUCCUACUGACUUUGGUGAACCUGUGACCUUUCCUCUUGACAAUAAUGAGGUCAACAUUUACUGGUUGGAUCGACUGGCUUUUCCUGCAGAGCGGCCAAUCCAGCGAGCGAGCGGGGGAAUCGAUGCCCUGAUACGAGAUUCAGCCUAAUGAGGAUCAGAAACAUCUUAAUAAAGACCCAUAAUCCACCACUUAAUCCCUCAUUACAGAAUCAUCUACAUUCACUGGUCCUGCCUCCAUACCGCCGCACUGACGGCACAUUCUGGUCCAUUGUUCUGCCUCGCCUCAUCUCUCACCGAGGGCUACGUCUCCCUUUGUCUCCCCUCGGUGUCAGUUAUAUUUGAUCCGCUCUCAUUAGACUUUCAGACGAGAUGAGCAGAAGGGCCUGAAAAUAGUGCUUUUGUGUGCACUUCUAUGCUAUCUCCUGUCUGAAAUGGAAAGUGAGACAUAUGCUUAAUGAGGAGGGGAUGGCCUGGGACCUGCAGUCCGACAGAGAGAUAGGGAGUGUAUUGUGCUGCGACAGAUACUGUUAAAGGACACACUUUCCAGGCAUCGUCUGUGUCAGUGAUUAUGACUUCUGAGAGAGUGAAAAUUGCUCUGAAGUGGGACAGAUGGAUUAAAGUUUAAUGCUGAGCCCUGGAGAGGUUCUGCGGCUGUGUUUUAGUUUUGUGCAGCAUUAACAGAAAAGUUGGUAAAGUUUUAGCCCAGUUAAACAAAAGUAUUUUCAAGUAUAUUUUCUGAAAGUAUUCUUACAGUACAUCCUCGAUGGUCCAGGGAUUCAUCAGCCUUCUUGUCAUAAACAUUUCUACCUUCUGAGCUACUGUAAGAUACCUACCACCGGGUGCUUGACAGUUAUCACCACUGUUGGAGGAAGUAUUCAGUUCCUUUACUUCAAUUAAGGUCCAUUCUCACACACCUUGAUGUUUCCUGGUCUGCUGGUGUGCUCUGUCCUGACACGCUUGUCCUCUCGUCUCCUGCUGGCAACCACCUGGGCUUCUUCACUCUCAAC